rnacentral:rRNA from 1 species
AUUGAACGCUGGCGGCAUGCCUUACACAUGCAAGUCGAACGGCAGCGCGGGGCAACCUGGCGGCGAGUGGCGAACGGGUGAGUAAUAUAUCGGAACAUACCCUAGAGUGGGGGAUAACGUAGCGAAAGUUACGCUAAUACCGCAUACGCACUAAGGUGGAAAGUGGGGGAUCUUCGGACCUCAUGCUCAUGGAGUGGCCGAUAUCUGAUUAGCUAGUUGGUGAGGUAAAGGCUCACCAAGGCGACGAUCAGUAGCUGGUUUGAGAGAACGACCAGCCACACUGGAACUGAGACACGGUCCAGACUCCUACGGAGGCAGCAGUGGGGAAUUCUGGGACAAUGGGGGCAACCCUGAUCCAGCAAUGCCGCGUGAGUGAAGAAGGCCUU